rnacentral:lncRNA from 1 species
CUGGUCCGGUCAUUGUCGAGGUUGGUCCUGGCAGUCAGCGAUGGUCAUGUCACUUUUUCGAAAUUUUUUGAAAAUAAAUUUAUAUUUUUAUAACAUUUUAGUUUCAAAAUAUGACAUACCAUUUUAUAUUUCAAAUCUGAGAUAAGUCCUUUGAAAAAUAAAAAAGUUAUUAGCAUUUUUAUUUGGUCCUGUCAUUCUCGAUGUUGGUCCUGUCAUUAUCAGAGUUGGUCAUGUCACGUUUUCUGAAGUUUCUUACAAAUUUUUUUAUUUUUUUUCUUAAAUCUAUUUAUCAAUUGAUAAAAUCUUAUUAUAUUUCAAAUUUGAGAUCAAUCCUUUGAAAAAUAAAAAAGUUAUUAGCAUUUUUCAUUUGGUCCUGUCAUUCGGUCCUGUCAUUCGG